rnacentral:rRNA from 1 species
AGUGAACGCUGGCGGUAGGCCUAACACAUGCAAGUCGAACGGCAGCACAGUAAGAGCUUGCUCUUACGGGUGGCGAGUGGCGGACGGGUGAGGAAUACAUCGGAAUCUACUUUUUCGUGGGGGAUAACGUAGGGAAACUUACGCUAAUACCGCAUACGACCUACGGGUGAAAGCAGGGGAUCUUCGGACCUUGCGCGAUUGAAUGAGCCGAUGUCGGAUUAGCUAGUUGGCGGGGUAAAGGCCCACCAAGGCGACGAUCCGUAGCUGGUCUGAGAGGAUGUCCAGCCACAUGGGACCUGAGCCCCGUCCCAGACCCCUACGGGAGGCACCAUGGGGGAAUUUUGGACAAUGGGGGCAGGCCUGUCCCAGCAUUCCCGCUUGGUGGAGGAAGGCCUCCGGGUGGUAAGGCCUUUUGUUUGGGAAGGAAAACCAGCAGUUUAUUCCCCCCUGUUCCUGCCGUUACCCAAAGAUAAACCCCCGCCUAAUUUCUUC